UACGAAGGGGGCGAGCGUUGUUCGGAUUUACUGGGCGUAAAGGGCGCGUAGGCGGCGCAAGAAGUCAGGCGUGAAAGCCCCUGGCUCAACUGGGGAAGUGCACCCGAAACUGAAUGGCUUGAGUGCGAAAGAGGGUCGCGGAAUUCCCGGUGUAGAGGUGAAAUUCGUAGAUAUCGGGAGGAACACCGGUGGCGAAGGCGGCGACCUGGGUCGACACUGACGCUGAGGCGCGAAAGCGUGGGGAGCAAACAGG
rnacentral:rRNA from 1 species